GCAGAGGUGUGAGUGUUUCUCAUCUUCCUUAGUGUAGGUACAGGAGCAGCAGAGGUGUGAGUGUUUCUCAUCUUCCUUAGUGUAGGUACAGGAGCAGCAGAGGUGUGAGUGUUUCUCAUCUUCCUUAGUGUAGGUACAGGAGCUACAGAGGUGUGAGUGUUUCUCAUCUUAGUGUAGGUACAGGAGCAGCAGAGGUGUGAGUGUUUCUCAUCUUAGUGUAGGUACAGGAGCUACAGAGGUGUGAGUGUUUCUCAUCUUAGUGUAGGUACAGGAGCUGAGUGUUUCUCAUCUUCAUUAGUCCAGUGAAGAUGUUGGGCAUGACAACAUGGAUCCUGCCAGCUGCUUUUGGACACAGGCCUUCUUAGAUGUUUUCCUUUUUCUUGUCAGUGAAUCCAUAAGUAUAUUCAAGAGUGUUUCCUAACCCAUCCUUGUUGUGCUAGCAAGUCAGUCAUGCACUGGAACCUUUGCUUCCUCCUGACUUCAUUCACCUUCACAAACCCAAAAGCAAAACAUGCAAAUUCUUAACCUCCUAAGUAGGAAAGGUGCCUUUGAUUUGCAGAGUAGCACUCAGAAGGGCAGAAUAGCCUAAAGAUAGGACAGAAGUCUGUUGAAAAGAUGUGUUGUGUUCUUUCUGGUGUGCCUGGUUUGGGUUUUUUUCCCCUUACACAAAGCUGUCAUCACUUGUUUAGCUGUGUAAGGUGAAAUAAAAGCUUGGGAGUGGUUCACUGUGUUCUGCAAUGAACAGAUGCAGAGAUGGGUGUAGAGCAAACCCUGGCUUUGUAAGUCAUAUCACUAGUAGGUGUUCAAGUCAGAAAGGAGCUUUUGUUUUCCCUUGGGACAACUUAAAAUAUUAAGGUGGAGCUGUGUGGCCCAGCUGUGGGUAAUUAUCAGGCAGCAACCUACCUAAUAGGUCUGAUAAAGGCUUAUCAUCAUCAUUACAUUGAGCCAAAAUCUGUUCUUGUGAGUUUCUUACUCUGCUGAACUCCUCACCUUUAACUGCUCUUUCCAUAGAUUUCAUACCAAUGGAGAGGUGUUUGGCUUGUAGUGAGCAUUUGAGCCUAAGCCCUGCAGAAAGACCUGGAUAUCCCAUUUGCUUCCUCAGGGGGAGGUCUCUUCCCUGCAGGAGCACAGACCAUGAAUGUCUGUGAAUGUGCACCCAGUUUGAGCCCUGAGCUGUGGUGCUUGACCAUGUCCUGGUCUCCUGUGCUGGGAACAAAACUGAAGUAGAGAAGAGGAUUAAACCACCAAACUCCAGCUCCAGCAACAGCAUUGGUAGGGCUGAAGCUUCCUGAUGAGAGAACAAAAAUGAGCCAACUUCAGCUCUUUUGUUUAUACAACAGCUGGGGAUCCCCAGUCUCUUGCGCCCAGUUGCAUCCCUGCUGCUGGCCAGGAUCUCUGAGCAGUCUUCUUUCUUUGGAGCAGAGAUGGGAGCCACAACUCUGUCUCAUGACCCUUUCCCCUGUAUGCAGUGUCACUUAAGUGCACCUUCUCCACAUUUCUUGCUCUGACCUUUCUUUGUCAGUGGUGCUUCAGGUGAGUGUCACCUGCACAUCUUCUCUGGCACUCCCUAAGCUCAAGGUGAGAAAGGAAAAGUGCAAGUUGUGACCUGAGUGUCUCCUUUUAUUUCUUUCUUUUAACUUCUAGCUACCAGUCUGUGGGACAGUUCUGUCCUCACCUAUUUCAAACAGCUUUUUCCACUUCCAGUGGCUCACAGGAAACCCUCCCUUAGCAGCUAGACUUGCACAGGUUGGUGCUGUACUUCUUCACCCCCAGUGUAACCCAACUGAUGGUACUGAUGCAGCUGCAGGUACAAAGGAUUUGGCUCGUUAUGCUGACUGCAUAUUUCAUAGACUCACAGACUGGUUUGGCUUGGAAGAGACCUUUAAAGGUUAUCCAGUCCAACCCUCCCAACCCUGCACUCAGCAGGGGUGGGAUCUUUUUGGUGUAGUGAUGUUGUGUCGAUGUGGUGUAAGAUGCCACCCUGAAAAACAUCACCAUCAUCAUAGUGUCUUGUAGCAGAAGCCUUUUUGGUGUGUCAUGGGAUGUCUGUAAUUGCCAGAGGAGGGAAAAACACACCCAAAAUGACACCAGAGAACCCCCCCCCGGGUAUGUGAGGGCUCCAUUCUUUGCAAUGUCUAAGGCCCUUUUGUUUGGCUGCUGUCUGACCUGCCCAGAUCCCAACUGGACAAUGCUCUAGGAGAUAAAGUGAAGAUGAGGCAGCUGGAUUCAGGCUAACUGGGGGGACUUGGGACAAAGCAGCUCUGUUUGUGGUACCACUCCCAGGUGGAAUGGCCUUAGCUACCUUGCAGGGUGGGUGUGAGAAAUAGCUACCAUAGCCAGAACUUGGCAGGGGCAUUUGCUUUGUGCUGCUCUUCUGAGGCUGUAUUUUUGUAUGGAGGAGUUUUGUGUGUCUGGUUUUGUUUACCCCCAAAGCCCUUACUUGAGAGCAUCUCUGUCCCACUGGUGAAGUCCAUUGUGUAGCUGACAUCCAGGGCUCAGGAGGCAGCAGCAGAAGGGUUCACACCUAAAGAUGAGACGUUUGGAAUGUUCCUCCUGCUGCUGCCAUCAGGAACUUGGAAUCAUCUGCAGUUUCUUUUCUACACUUGUCUAUCUUUUGCCACUUUGCUGUACUUGUGAAGUUGAGGUUUUGCCUUUCCCAGCAGAAAGUAUUCCCCAAAUAAAGAUGGAUUGUUAA